UCAAAAUGUAAAAGUUGUAUUAUAUUUUCCAUGUUGGCAUUAUAAUUAAAAUAUAUCCGAUAAAAACAAGGCAAAAAACCCCUAGUAUAUUUCUCCUUAACGCCCAUGUAUCUGUAAUUCCACUUAACGCUCGUUUUCUUCUUCUUCUUCUCUCUCUAACUAAUUGGAAGGAAAAUCGAAGAACAAAAAUUGAAGAAACUUUUGGUGAUUCGUGGAUUCUUAUGCAGAAGAUACUUACUCUUUGAUUCAAAUGCCGGAGAAAAUUAUAUUCACAAAAAUGCACCAUGGGGGCUACUUUUCCGAGAUUCCUGUCCCCACUUAUGUUGGUGAGAGUGAACUAGCAAGUAUGUAUAUGGACAAUGACCACUUUUCUAUUACGGAGCUGGAAUUUUAUACUAAAGAAAUAGGCUUUGUGAGUGUCGAGGGCUUUUAUUAUCAGAAUAGUGAGACCAAACAAUUUCACUUGGUGGAGUCGGACCUACACCUAUUAGACUUAAUAAAAGACUUAAAGCAUGGAGACAACUUUGAAAUAUGGGUUAAACAUGUUGUUGACCAUGUUUUACCUGUAGAUGAGGAGGGACCUACUGGCUACCUAACUGGAGAGAAUGAAACUUUGUUAUUAAAUAACAGAGAUGGUGAGUCAUUUAACCUACAAGAAGUUGUUGUAGAAGAGAUAGUUGAAAGUUUAGGAGGUGAUUGCACUGGUCCGUUAGAUGUAGAAAGUCAUCUUUCAGAUGUGGAGAGUAGUGAUUCAGAUAUGGAAGAUAUACUUGAAGAGGAUGACUCAGAUGUACAUGAGGAGUUGAGAACUGCUAGACAAGACAAAAGAAAUAAAAAAUAGAAGAAAAAAGCUCCUGUUACAGAAGAGAUACCUGUUGGAGAGGCUGGUGGUAUAGAUAGAGGGUUUGAGGAUAUUGGGGUAGACAAGGCUAACAAAUAUGCUGGAAAAUUUAGGGGAGAUGAAGAGUAUAUUAGUAACUUUGAAUGUUGGAGUGAUGAUAGCAGGGAGAAGCUAGAUGCAGAAACUGUUAGAGGAGUAGAUCUACCUCUAGGAGGAGAAGUAAAAAGUAAGAUAUGAUGAAGCUUGUGAGGUGGCUGUAUUUGAGCUUGGUAUGGUAUUUGAGAAUGUAACACAACUUAGAAAGGCUGUGGAAGAUUAUGAUGUUGAGUAUAGGAGGCAAAUUAAACUAAGACCUAAUGAGCCUCAUAGGGUAAGGAUUAAGUGUAAAAUAAGUACAUGUAAAUGGUUGUUGGCUGCUUCUUUGGAUAGAAACUGGUGAUUUUAGAGACAUUAACUAUCAUCAUGUACAUAAAUGCAUUCCUACUAAAAAAAUAAGCUUUGCACUUCUAACCUUAUUGCCAGAAAGUUCAAGGAUAGGAUAGUUUCCCAGCCAUAUAUAAGGCUUUGGGAAAUUCAAGAGAUGGUUAGAGACAAGUUGGGUCUUUAUGUUGGUAGGACUAUGUCUCAGAGAGCAAAACAUAAAGUUCUGAAGGAAAAUAUCGGUGAUUGGAAGCUGGAAUUCCAAAGGAAACAUAGUGCAUGGCCUAUUUUAAAGUUCAUUCCAAAUGUGAUAUUGUUGAGAACAACAUGAGUGAGACUUUCAAUUCUUGGAUUUUAGCUGCUAGGCAUAAGUCUAUUAUCACCAUGUUAGAGGAAAUUAAGCAUAAACUAAUGAACAGACAUGUGGAUAUGAUCAAUUUUGCUAAAACAUGGAUCACAGAUAUUUCUCCUAUGGCAAGAACAAUACUAGAAGAAAAUAAAAAGUACUCUAAGAAGUGUAAAGUUAUGUGGAAUGCACAAGUUAAUUUUGAAAUUCUAGACAAUUGAUAUAGGUUUAGGAUUCAUUUGGAAAACAAGACUUGUGAUUGUAGGCUAUGGCAGUUAAGAGGUAUUCCUUGCCCCCAUACAGUUUGUGCUUAUUAUAAAUUAAACUUAGAUCCUGAUGAGCAUGUAGAGCAUUGGUAUAGGAAUGAUACAUUUUUGAAGGCCUACAGUUACUAUACCCAAUCUAAAGAUGUGGCCUGAAAGCUCAAAUCCAUCAAUAGAGCCUCCUCUGCCAAAGCCAAUGCCAGGUAGACCUAAAAAGUGUAGAAGAAAGGCUAAGUAUGAACCAAAAAAGAAGUACGGAAAACUAUCAAAGAAGGGUGUCAAAAUGACUUGUUCAAAAUGCAAAUAGACUAGCCACAACAGAAAAGUGUCAAAUAGGAUCUGGAGUGGGGGAUUCUUCAUAACCCAGAGAAUCAAAUGCCCAACCUAGCCAACCAAGCUCUAUUUGUAGAGACACUACAACUGUUAGAAGAGUUAACCAAAGUAGGGAAGGUGCUGGGAAAGGUAUGGGAGGUGGAAGCAAAAGAGGUAAUGGAGGAGGAACCCCAUUUGUAAGUCCAAGAGAUGUUUCAUCUAGUCAGACUAAGGGUUCUAAUUCUACUGAAUGUGCUGCUGCAACUGGAGGAAACAAAAGGCCUAGAACUAUUGGGUUUGGUGUAUACUCUGACCCUCAAACUGGAAACCAAGUGUUUAAUCCUGGUACCUCAAGUGAGAGAGUUCUACAAGAAUUCUCAAGUGUGAAGAGUGCCUCACCAACCAAUAUUGAUAGUGGUUUUGUUCCACGGGGCCUGAAAUAGAAGGGAAAAGAUGCAGUCAUCACAUCACAAUUGCAACAAAUGAAGGCCAACAAAAGGAAUAAAGUGAAUACUUCAUCAUCAACAACUAAGAAGUAGUUCUAAAAGUGAACUGUUUUAGUUUUUUCUGUAUGUAAUAUUGAACAAUAUUGAUGUCUAGGGAUGAUGUUAAUUUAGGUCUUUUUGUCGAUGUAUUAAUGAUGGCAAACUUAUGAAGCACUUAUGAUUUUGGUACCAUUUUGUUGGAGUUGCGGCGUUACAUUUGAGCUUAAUUGAGAGCAGUUUAAUAGUAA